UGGGGAAUUUUGGACAAUGGGGGCAACCCUGAUCCAGCCAUGCCGCGUGCGGGAAGAAGGCCUUCGGGUUGUAAACCGCUUUUAGCCGGGAAGAAAAGGCAGGGGCUAACACUCUCUGUUCUUGACGGUACCGGCGGAAUAAGCACCGGCUAACUACGUGCCAGCAGCCGCGGUAAUACGUAGGGUGCGAGCGUUAAUCGGAAUUACUGGGCGUAAAGCGUGCGCAGGCGGUUCGUUAAGUCUGAUGUGAAAGCCCCGGGCUCAACCUGGGAAUGGCAUUGGAUACUGGCGGGCUUGAGUGUGGCAGAGGGGGGUUGGAAUUCCGCGUGUAGCAGUGAAAUGCGUAGAGAUGCGGAGGAACACCGAUGGCGAAGGCCAGCCCCCGUGGGCUGACACUGACGC
rnacentral:rRNA from 1 species